rnacentral:rRNA from 1 species
UGGGGAAUUUUGGACAAUGGGCGAAAGCCUGAUCCAGCAAUGCCGCGUGUGUGAAGAAGGCCUUCGGGUUGUAAAGCACUUUUGUCCGGAAAGAAAUCCUUGGCUCUAAUACAGUCGGGGGAUGACGGUACCGGAAGAAUAAGCACCGGCUAACUACGUGCCAGCAGCCGCGGUAAUACGUAGGGUGCAAGCGUUAAUCGGAAUUACUGGGCGUAAAGCGUGCGCAGGCGGUUUGCUAAGACCGAUGUGGAAUCCCCGGGCUCAACCUGGGAACUGCAUUGGGUGACUGGCAGGCUAGAGUAUGGCAGAGGGGGGUAGAAUUCCACGUGUAGCAGUGAAAUGCGUAGAGAUGUGGAGGAAUACCGAUGGCGAAGGCAGCCCCCUGGGCCAAUACUGACGCUCAUGCACGAAAGCGUGGGGGAGCAAAACAGGAUUAGAUACCCUGGUAGUCCACGCCCUAAAACGAUGUCAACUAGUUGUUGGGGAUUCAUUUCCUUAGUAACUAGCUAACGCGUGAAGUUGACCGCCUGGGGAGUACGGUCGCAAGAUUAAAACUCAAAUGAAUUGACGGGGUC